UAGAGGGUAGCAAUAUUCUCUAGUCGGAGUGGCGCAAGGGUGCGUAACACGUGGGUAAUCUGCCGUGAAGACUGGGAUAACUCGCUGAAAGGCGAGCUAAUACCGGAUGUGAUUGCUGGGGAGCAUUUUCUGGCAAUGGAAGCUGGGGACCGUAACAGGCCUGGCACUUCACGAUGAGCCCGCGGCCUAUCAGCUAGUUGGUGAGGUAACGGCCCACCAAGGCUAAGACGGGUAGCUGGUCUGAGAGGACGACCAGCCACACUGGAACUGAGACACGGUCCAGACACCUACGGGUGGCAGCAGUCGAGAAUUUUUCACAAUGGGCGCAAGCCUGAUGGAGCGACGCCGCGUGGGGGAUGAAGGGUUUCGAUCCGUAAACCCCUGUCAUUUGCGAACAAACCUUAUGAAAUAACACUUCAUGAGCUGAUUGUAGCGGAAGAGGAAGGGACGGCUAACUCUGUGCCAGCAGCCGCGGUAAUACAGAGGUCCCAAGCGUUGUUCGGAUUCACUGGGCGUAAAGGGUGCGUAGGUGGCCGGGUAAGUUCGGUGUGAAAGCUCGGAGCUCAACUCCGAAAAGUCAUUGAAUACUAUCCGGCUGGAGGGUCGGAGGGGAGACUGGAAUUCUCGGUGUAGC
rnacentral:rRNA from 1 species